rnacentral:rRNA from 1 species
GUCGAACGGCAGCAUAGGAGCUUGCUCCUGAUGGCGAGUGGCGAACGGGUGAGUAAUAUAUCGGAACGUGCCCUAGAGUGGGGGAUAACUAGUCGAAAGACUAGCUAAUACCGCAUACGAUCUACGGAUGAAAGUGGGGGAUCGCAAGACCUCAUGCUCCUGGAGCGGCCGAUAUCUGAUUAGCUAGUUGGUGGGGUAAAAGCCUACCAAGGCAACGAUCAGUAGCUGGUCUGAGAGGACGACCAGCCACACUGGGACUGAGACACGGCCCAGACUCCUACGGGAGGCAGCAGUGGGGAAUUUUGGACAAUGGGGGCAACCCUGAUCCAGCAAUGCCGCGUGAGUGAAGAAGGCCUUCGGGUUGUAAAGCUCUUUUGUCAGGGAAGAAACGGUAGUAGCGAAUAACUAUUACUAAUGACGGUACCUGAAGAAUAAGCACCGGCUAACUACGUGCCAGCAGCCGCGGUAAUACGUAGGGUGCAAGCGUUAAUCGGAAUUACUGGGCGUAAAGCGUGCGCAGGCGGUUGUGUAAGUCAGAUGUGAAAUCCCC